GUGGACUACAGGCCACUGAAGAAGAACUGAGCUUGCUGAGGAUCUAUACUAUACUUUGGAAAUAUCUGAGAUGUUAAGAGCAAGACCAAGGCCUGCAUAUCCCUAAGAAAGAGUAAUGCCCUCCCACCUUGAGCCACAUUUCCUGAUUCUCCUACCUUUUGCCUCAGGAGCAAUGCAGUAGUUGACAACAUACUGACAGAAAGGGACUGGUAACAUCUGAACAUACCAAACCAA